GAUGAACGCUAGCGGGAGGCUUAACACAUGCAAGUCGAGGGGCAGCAUAGGGUAGCAAUACUCCGAUGGCGACCGGCGCACGGGUGAGUAACACGAAUGCAACCUACCCUGUACAGGGGGAUAACCCGGAGAAAUUCGGACUAAUAUCCCAUAAUGAUAUUGAGGGGCAUCCUUUAAUAUUUAAAGCUCAGGCGGUACGGGAUGGGCAUGCGGAACAUUAGCUAGUUGGGAGGGUAACGGCCUACCAAGGCAACGAUGUUUAGGGGACCUGAGAGGGUGAUCCCCCACACUGGUACUGAGACACGGACCAGACUCCUACGGGAGGCAGCAGUGAGGAAUAUUGGUCAAUGGGCGCAAGCCUGAACCAGCCAUCCCGCGUGCAGGAAGACGGCCCUAUGGGUUGUAAACUGCUUUUCCAGGGGGAGAAUUUUUCUGUCGUGACAGGAAUUGACGGUACCCUGGGAAUAAGCAUCGGCUAACUCCGUGCCAGCCGCCGCUGUAAAAC
rnacentral:rRNA from 1 species